rnacentral:rRNA from 1 species
GUGAGGAAUAUUGGUCAAUGGGCGGGAGCCUGAACCAGCCAAGUCGCGUGAAGGAAGAAGGAUCUAUGGUUCGUAAACUUCUUUUGCAGGGGUAUAAAGUGCAGGACGUGUCCUGUUUUGUAUGUACCCUGAGAAUAAGGAUCGGCUAACUCCGUGCCAGCAGCCGCGGUAAUACGGAGGAUCCGAGCGUUAUCCGGAUUUAUUGGGUUUAAAGGGUGCGUAGGUGGUUUGAUAAGUCAGCGGUGAAAGUUUGCAGCUUAACUGUAAAAAUGCCGUUGAAACUGUCGGACUUGAGUGUAAAUGAGGUAGGCGGAAUGCGUGGUGUAGCGGUGAAAUGCAUAGAUAUCACGCAGAACUCCGAUUGCGAAGGCAGCUUACUAAGCUACAACUGACACUGAAGCACGAAAGCGUGGGGAUCAAACAGGAUUAGAAACCCCAGUAGUCC